ensembl:lncRNA
UGCCGUUAGCGACAGGACGAGCGGGACCUUUCUCCGAGGGGCCCCCCCCCGACCUCCUCCCUCCAGACCUGCUCGGACCAAUUUAAAGCCGACAGCCGGAUAAAAACUAGGAUAUAAAAAUCCAACGGGGUAAAAAAUCCGGAGAGUUAUUUAUGGGUCGCGUUGCUGCGCCGUCCUUUAUUCUCUUUGUCUAAUUGGCACGCCGCUGGCCGCUUUCUCUGGGAAACUGGCGGCGGGGGGCCCGUUCCUGCAAGCGGCCCCGGGGUCUCCAGAGGGUGCUGAGGGAUGAGGGUCUCCAUGAGGCCCCCAUAAAGAGCCCAGCCCCACUCUGCUGGAUCCCCCUCACGGCUCCAGAUACAGGAUCCUCAGAGGGCACUUAUCACCUGUAAUGAACAGCCCCGUCCUCCUCCGUCCACCCCUCCCCCUCUGUCACCUGACCCCUCCACCCACUCCUGCCCCUCCCUUAGUGGCUUUACAUCCAUUCACUGUAUGUUACAUACUGUGCAUGCGCCUUCAGGACAUGAAUGGAGGUCAGUGGAACAUUCCUUUAUGUUUGUGUCCGUGGGGUCACAUGAGACCUGAGUGUUGUUCUUCUUCUUUGGUUACAAUUGUGAGCGUGUUGUUGCAAAUAAAAGCAGUUAAAAUUAAGUAACUAACUAACUACAAAGUAUAAUAUAGACACAUUUUGUGAAUUAAAAAAGGCAACACUGAUCCGAUACAAGACAGGAUGUAACAAACUGGGGACUUUAUUUUCAAAAUAAAAGUUGAUGCACACCCUCCACUACAGUAGAAGGUUAGUUGCUCUCUAUAAAUACUACCAUGCUAUAACUAGAUCACACUUCAGUGUGUUAUAUUCUGCAGAACGAGAACUUUUGAUGCUUCAAGCACAUGUGACCAAUAACUUUUAUGUACUUUCACUUAAAUGCAAAAGUAAUUCCCCACCGUGGCACCGCUUCUUCUACUGCAGUAAAGGAUGGAAAUACUUCCUCCUCCUCCCGAUCGCCGGGCCUUUUCCCCCAGAACGGCUCCGGUGUUUUCUUUGGCUCCGGUUCGCUCGCAUCAACCCUAACCCGCAAAAGGGAAAUCAAUCACCGCGGACCCCGGCUCAACCUUCCUCGAUACGAACUAAUUUGAUUUCUGAGUUAUAAGGCAAUAAAUAACUGCCAUAAAAACAACACUCUGAGCCCUUUUCUCUUCCACCCUUUCAGCUCGGGACAGAACACGUAUUGUGCCGGGCCUCUAAUUGACUGCAGGUUUGUUUCGGGCCGUCCGGUCGCAUUCCGGCGCAUUUGAUUCCGUAAUGAAAGUGGGGGCCGUGGUGGAGGGGUGGGGGGGGGGGGGGUUUUCUUAACGCGUGAGGUGCAUCAGCCGCACGGCGUGUUCCUUAUUAUUUUUAUUCUCGCCAGCAGCUCUCAAGUGCUUGGGCGGAGUAGAUCAAGACGAGGGUGGGGUUCUCUUUCUCGGGGGUGGGGGGGCGGUGGGGGGGGGGGGGUCCCCAGGGGUCACUUCAGGAUGUGUAACCUGAUGUAAUUGCAGGCAUUAAGUGCAGUGAGGCCCCGGACAAUCUCCCCCUUUGUGAGUGAAUUAAAGAAUAUUAGCUGCAGCGGCGUUAGCGGCUGCUAAUGGACAGAAAAUGGAUUGGUGUGCAGUUUGGGAGGAGGUGGGGGGGGAGGGAGGGGGGUCAUUAGAAUACAAAGCCGGUGUUAAAAGGGGGCUCGUCGCCGGCUUGGAUAUACGGUGAACUCUGCAGCUCGGGCCGUAAAUCAUCUGAGAGUUGUGGAAGCUCUCUCUCUCUGCACUCUCUGCUCGGGAGGAGGAGGAGGUGGAGGAGGUGGAGGAGGAAGAGGAGGAAGAGGAGGGGAAACGGUCUCACCAUGCUGGCAACCACUCCUGUUUCCUCUCUCCGUUUCGGGGCGUCCACGCGUCCGUAAUCCGCCCGGCCACCCACAGACUGCGCUCCCCGCUUCCUGUUAUUACCGCGGGAUUAAGGGCAGAAAUGACCACAAUUUGGGCAAAACCUCGUCUGCAGAGGAAAUUAUGGAAGAUCGUAACCGCCAAGAAGAAAAGACUGAAAGUCCAAUAUUCUUUUACAAAUUACAAUAUUGGUUUAAAUUUUUUUUGUUACAGCACAAAGAAGUACCGCCAUCAAAAUAUAGUUUAAGUAUCAAAUGUUAAAAGAGGAUUUAUGUACUGUGUUUAAUCUACAAUGAUACAUCUAUAUUUAAUUUUUACUUUUAAUCAAAUCUAAUACGUUCCAUUUCUACUCUUACUACUACUCUUCUUCUACCAUACUUAUUGCAUUUAGUCAAUAGUUUAUUUUGUACUACAAGUAUUUACACAUACCUUACACACACAUUUCAGAAUUAUGAUUCCUGACCAGAAUAGGGAGUCAAAUCAAUAAAUGUUAAACAUGUAAAGCUACGGUAUCAAAGUGGAACUUUGCUGUUAUUUUUUAAAUAUUUUUUGCUGUUAUUUUAUUUUUCUAUUCGGAAUUCUUUUAACUGUGUAAAUUAUUGUGAAUUAACUGUGUAAUAUUACAUACAGAAAACCAGGUCACUGGUCGUAUUUUUAAUCUCGUACAUCUAGUGGUGUUUAUUUAUUGAUAUUCUUUUUUUUUAAUAUUCAUCGUAACCUGUGCUUCCGUAUCGAUUUCUACUCUGACAACUUAUUGCUGUUGUGCAUAACUUUUCAUUCACUUUUUUUUCCACCAGCGGUCCUCCCUACGCCGAUGAAUUCGCCAAAUGUUUUUCUUUCCUCUCCGGCUCGAGUCCUCCGUUUCCCUCCAGCAGCCCGGAUCGGUAAUGACUGCGACUUUGAUGAGAUAAUAACCCGGGAGUGAACGAGGAGGCGGGGCUUAGCGUCUCCCGGCAGUUGAAGGUUAUUCAGUCUUUUUUUUCCCCCUUCCCUCUUAAUGGGGAAUCCAGAGAGAGGCCUCGCUGGCAGGGUCUGGCUGCAGUGGAUGUAACCUCCCCCCUCCCCCCCUCUUCUACCCUCCCAUCCCACCGCAAGCCUCCAUCACAACUCACGUUAAGCAGCUCGAGUCCACACAUGCAAGAAGAGCAGGAAUCUCUCGACUUCCAGCUGUAAAACGUGUCUCUGGGAUCCCCGUGGUUGUCGGGUUCCCCGUGGCGAGCUGACGGGACGUCGCCAUGUGGAAGUAUCACACAUCCUUCUCUCACUUGUUGGCUACGAGCCGCUGGAAGAAGAAUUUAAACAUGUAAACACCAGAAAAUCCGCAGUUGUCUUGGACACUUUUGUGACAGGCGGUGAAGUAUUAUCACGAUAUCGCUUCCUCUCUCUGCACAUUUCACUCACUCAAUUUUUUGGGUGAACUUUUCACUGAAAAGAACCGCACAGCUCUUCAUCUUAAAAAACACCAUAUUUAUUGUUCACGUUCUGAACAACAUUCACUUCCACAAGAGGGGAUUAGACCUUUCUAAUUUUCUGGGACCGAUUCCUCUGAAUGAAGGAAUAAGGAGAGAAGAUACUGAGAGACGGGUUUGGUCGAGGGGGGGGCCGGUCUACACGGUGAGGAAACUGCUGGCGGUACGUAAGCGGGGACGGGGCAGGCAGUUCCUCGUGGACUGGGAGGGCUACGGCCCAGAGGAACGACAAUGGGUCU